rnacentral:rRNA from 1 species
GGGAUAACGCAUAUGUGCUGGAAUGCUUUAUGCGUAAAAAGGAUUCGUCCGCCCAAGGAUGGGUCUGCGGCCUAUCAGGUAGUAGUGGGUGUAAUGUACCUACUAGCCGACAACGGGUACGGGUUGUGAGAGCAAGAGCCCGGAGAUGGAUUCUGAGACAUGAAUCCAGGCCCUACGGGGCGCAGCAGGCGCGAAAACUUUACAAUGCGGGAAACCGUGAUAAGGGGACACCGAGUGUCAGCAUCAUAUGCUGGCUGUCCAGGUGUGUAAAAUACACCUGUUAGCAAGGGCCGGGCAAGACCGGUGCCAGCCGCCGCGGUAACACCGGCGGCCCGAGUGGUGAUCGUGAUUAUUGGGUCUAAAGGGUCCGUAGCCGGUUUGGUCAGUCCUCCGGGAAAUCUGAUAGCUCAACUAUUAGGCUAUCGGGGGAUACUACCAGACUUGGAACCGGGAGAGGUAAGAGGUACUACAGGGGUAGGAGUGAAAUCUUGUAAUCCCUGUGGGACCACCUGUGGCGAAGGCGUCUUACCAGAACGGGUUCGACGGUGAGGGACGAAAGCUGGGGGCACGAACCGGAUUAGAUACCCGGGUAGUCCCAGCCGUAAACGAUGCUCGCUAGGUGUCAGGCAUGGCGCGACCGUGUCUGGUGCCGCAGGGAAGCCGUGAAGCGAGCCACCUGGGAAGUACGGCCGCAAGGCUG